rnacentral:rRNA from 1 species
UGAGGAAUAUUGCGCAAUGGGCGAAAGCCUGACGCAGCGACGCCGCGUGAGGGAUGAAGGUCUUCGGAUCGUAAACCUCUGUCAGCAGGGAAGAAAUUUUAGUGUGCUAAUCAGCAUUAAAUUGACGGUACCUGCAAAGGAAGCACCGGCUAACUCCGUGCCAGCAGCCGCGGUAAUACGGAGGGUGCGAGCGUUAAUCGGAAUUACUGGGCGUAAAGCGCUCGUAGGUGGUAUGUCAAGUCAAGGGUGAAAUCCCCGCGCUCAACGUGGGAACUGCCUUUGAAACUGGCAGACUGGAGUGUGUGAGAGGAUAGUGGAAUUCCAGGUGUAGGAGUGAAAUCCGUAGAUAUCUGGAGGAACAUCAGUGGCGAAGGCGACUAUCUGGCACAUAACUGACACUGAGGAGCGAAAGCGUGGGUAGCAAACAGGAUUAGAUACC